UACGUAGGGCGCAAGCGUUGUCCGGAAUUAUUGGGCGUAAAGAGCUCGUAGGCGGUUUGUCGCGUCUGCUGUGAAAACCUAAGGCUCAACCUUGGGCUUGCAGUGGGUACGGGCAGACUAGAGUGCGGUAGGGGUGACUGGAAUUCCUGGUGUAGCGGUGAAAUGCGCAGAUAUCAGGAGGAACACCGAUGGCGAAGGCAGGUCUCUGGGCCACUACUGACGCUGAGAAGCGAAAGCAUGGGGAGCGAACAGG
rnacentral:rRNA from 1 species